AAAGGAUGUGGAGAAGGAAGCGGAACAACUGCUCUACCUGCUGGUAACCAGGCCCCGCCCUGAUGACUGCUGAAAGGCUGACUGACACUCUCGUUAAAAACAGAAGGAAAAGGAGUGUUUAAAAGUCAACACUACAUGACCUGCUCCACAUCUACUGUCGUUUUUCCCAGUGCAGUGUGCACCACAACAAAGCUUUACUGGAAGUCAGAGUUGCGUAACUCUUGAUGCACGACAUCAGAUUAUUUGCUGUGGAAUUACUGAAGUAUCUGUCUGAUGGAGGGACAGUGAUUGAACUGAUGGAGUCAGUGCUCCGUGUACUGUAAUACAACAAAAUUACGAACAGUAAGUGAUGACUUCACCCACUGUUGAUCUGAUACCUGACUCCGACUCUGAUGCUAAUCUUACACACAGUCUUGUUCCUCUCUCACUCUCUGUAGAAUGAGGAAGUAUAGCUAAAGUGCUGGGGUCAAAGGUGACGGUGGUUGCCAUGGCAAACUCCUUUCAGGUCAGUAUCAGGGGGUCUUAUCAGUGGUAUUCCUAACUUCUUUACCUGACUGUGCUUAGAUCAAUGUGGAUCUCUGUCACAUUCCAACCCACAGUGGGUUGAUUGAGUCCAAAAAUGUAUGGAAAAGAAUUAACCAGAAUAACUAUAGAACGGAAAGAUGUUUAUUUGAGAUAUUAACUUCUCUAUUUGUCUGAUCAUUAACCCAAAAACCUUUCCUAAUGAUGCCUACAGAGUCCUACUAAUCACCACAGAUGCAGGUUCUCUUUGUCUACA